CCUUGCCCAACACUCCCCAGUGGAGAGCUUGCAGAUGCAGACUGACCAGUGCACAGGUCUGCUGGGCAGCUGCACAUUGAAGAAGACAAAGAGAAUGCGGCUAGCAGGAAAACCCAAAAGCUGAAUGGCAGAGGAAGAAGGAGAAACCCCUCUGGGAUCUUAGAGUGACUCCAUAAUUCUUGGAGUAAAUGUGUGUGCCUGCUAUCGUCAAAUAACUUUGAAAUAAUUGAAAGGAAAGAAGACUACCUGAUUGUAACUAUUGCCAUCAUGACAAAAAUCACCAGAGACCUUGGAAUUUGCUUCCCAAACCCAGUGGUUUAACAAUAUCAAGGACCAUUUCUCUCUGCUGCACUGGGAAUGUGUUAUACCAAAAAACAGGAACUAGAACUUCUACUAGAUGACAAAAGACUGCCAUCAAUAAAACAAGUGAGUAAAAUCCAAUAGGCAGCAGAAGCUGGCCUGGAAAUUGCUAAAUGGAAAGCUGCUCAUGAAGGGUCCUGUUCAGAGAACAUGAAACAUGUCCUGAGGAUGCUGACAGUUUGCCCCAGCAAGGUGCUACUUAUCUUCUUGUGGAUGUUUUUCCCUCUGCUACUACUGAAACCUGACUAGCUCCAUAAAAACUUAAGUUUGUGCCAGUUCCCCAUCUAUCUGCAUGAAAUGGCUGCUAAAGGAUGAGGGAAGAGAGGAUAUGAGCUGAAAAGAAUUUUAGCAGCAAGUCUGAAAGAAAAAUGGAAAGACCUGCAGCAAGUGAGGAAUUCUGUGGCAGAACAGCCAAGUGCACACGGGUCAGAGGGUGAGACCCUCUGUGGGCAUUCAUCUGCGUGUACAGUCAGUAAAAUUGUGGCUUUGGUAGACAGUCCUAAGAUGGUUACUUAAAGUAUUUUUUAUUUUUUUAUUUUAACUGAAAAUACAUAUUGUUGAUACGUGUGUGUGAUUUGGAAUACAUCAGAUGAAAUGUGAAUAUUCUAAACUGAUCUAUGUAGAUAAUUAUCUAUAAAAGAUAAUUAGCCUUAAGAGCCUUUUGCCCUGUCAAGAUGGGAAGAUAAGUCAGGGGAUUCUAAAUUCUUUUUUUCGUAGAGGCCUCAGUCUCUUUCUUUGUAAUUCAGAACUUAAUUA